GAGAGCGUCGCACCACACGCACGGAAGAGUCUGCUCCUGCCUGAAGCUCAGCUCGGCCUGUGAAAGGUCAGACAAAUCCGCGAGCAUCUUAAAUAAAACACUAAACAACGGGCUUUAUUGGUUCCAUGGGAGGAAAUCCCCCAUGUUGGAAAUAAAACAGCUCAGUUUCUGCUCACUGGAUCUUAAAGAAACGCAUCGCGGACUUACAGAGGAAAACGCAGCAGGGCUGUUGCCGUUUACCAUCACGAUUCAUUUGUUAAAAUAUUUUGUAAGUGAAUGUUUCAGAAGUACAACACAGUCCUGGUAGCAUGACUUUAGCGGCAGAGAUCAUGCUUGGAGAACACCGAGAAGACCAUUUAGAUGUGCCCAACAAUCGGGCACUUAACACUUUGCAUCCUGAGCACGACAGAAAGGAAUACGCACGGCAUCAUAAAAAAAGUCGGCACCUACGAGAUGCUCCCCGUUACUUGUGUCGCGUGUGAAGGGGUCGGUUGCUAUCUUUGGUUAUCUAGCUGUAUGAGUGUUUCUCUUCCUUCAUAAAGCUAGAUAACCGAAAGUAGGAGCGGUCUCCUGUACUGCGCACUGCUCCUGCACUAGAGCAUAAACAGGAAAAAUACUGACCACUGCGUGAAGAUCAAUCAUAGGAAAGCUAUCUCCUGACAACAGUGUUUGCUUGAUCGACCAACAACUAGGAGCUGGCACAACACCAAGUGCCACCUCCUUCAAUCAACGGAAGCAUUCAGUGCCAUGCCUGCCUCCCGGAGCAGAGGGCGGGCAAAGAGAAAAAAAAUGAUGUGCAAGAGGCUACAGUUCAUGUGCCAGUGGAGACAAAGAGGCUGCCAGUCGCCACGAUCCCCACAGAUGCUGAAGAUUGGAGCUCUGAAUGAGGGGCUGUCCUUUGAGGAAGCCAUCUUGACGGAAAGGCUGGCUGCCUGCUUCCUAAAAUGGCUGUGUUGGCAUGAGGAACUCUAGGGCAGCAUCAAGCAGAUGGGAUACUUUUCGAUUCUAGACUAUUCUAAAGUCCCUGUGCCACUCUCAUCAGCUGCGUUGGUCCCCAGAUAUCUAAUGACUUCCGGCUAUUUAAUAGUGGACAAUCAAAACAAAUUGCAAAACAUACAAUAUUAGGAGACUGGCAUUAAAAAGCUUUUUGCUUCUUGAAUAAACAACAUGACAAUCUGUAUAAAACUGAAUAAUCUGUAUUUUUAAAGCUACAAAGGGCAAAGACUAAGUAUGUAUUGAUCAUUCUAGACUGCGCAAAAUGCUGACAAAUGCCAAUGAGCCUAACUGUGUGAGCUGUUUACAUUGUAUAUUUUAUUUUCUAUUAAGUGAAUUUAAUAAAUAACUGUAGAGUUAUUGAACAUAGGAGUAAAUUCUAUUGUCUAUGUUUAAAUUUUUUCUUCAGAGCUUCAGUCUCACUGUGAAUAAAUAAAAUGUAUUACUUUCUAUUCUAUCUAUUAAUCCUUGUCUUUCAGUUCAUUUUUGUUUUUUCUUUUUAAUAAACAUGUGCAAUAUAAAACUGA